CAUUUUCCCUCCCUCUGACUCUGCAGAUGGACUAUUUGGCCGGAGAAAGGGAAGAGAGCUUUGCCAGUUGUGAGAGUACAGCGGAGAGAAAGGGAAGAAAGUCGUUUGGCACCAGCGGGAGCAGGACCUGUUCUUGGGAUGUACGACAGGAACAUGACACGGAGAUGCACAUAUAGUACAGGUACUAUGUGAGUGUGUGUCUGUGUGUAUUUGUGGGAUGGCAGAGUAAAGUAGUUAAACAAUGCGCUGGAUGACAAGUUCAGCUUUUUGUGUCAGUGUGAGCUUUUAUUACAGUUUUAAAGACCUGUAUUGUACUCCAGGAUGUCACGUUCUGUAUUUUAAACAAUUUAAAUUAUUCUACAAACAUUUUACACAAAUUCUUGUCAAAAUGAAAUGCAACUCUAAAGUCUGGGCAUGUUACAUGGGUGAAAAAGUUGUGCUGAGGUACUCGGUAUAUCCGUUGAGCAUUCAUUUUGUUUUUUAACUGGCUAAACAGUGUUCAAUUCCCCUCAAUAUUCAACUGUGAGCAUCUGACUUAUAAAUUAUCCAAACUUCCUGCAGAGAGGGAAGUCUCCGGACCAAACCAACCUGGCCCUUUGUUUUUACCAGAAGUUAUACACACCAAAUUUUGUACAAGAUGGAAAAAUAUGUAGUAUAUACUCUUGGUGCUAAACAUUUUUGACAGUUGUUCUUGAGAAUUGAUUAUUGUGAAUCUGAUACAUAUGAAACGGAAAAUACGCGACGUGAAAACUACAGCUAAAAGAUGUCUUGUGAGGAUUUUCAUUCCUAUAGUUUAAUCACGGAUGAUCUUGACGUAACACAAAACAAUUAUGGUUGAAGACUUCAGUCACUACACGGAAUAACUGCUGUGACGGAGGACAUGUUUUCUUGAGACACAUCUCAGCCUUCUAGUUAGAGCCAUGUUCAUUCAGGUAUAAUGGAGUAAGAGCUGAACUGCAGCCAGCAGGAGGAGCUCUAAAAGCUCAGCUUUGCCUCAGGGGACUGCUGAUGUGCCAUCUUGGUUUUACAAGGUCUGUGAACCGAAAGGUGUUUUUGUGCCAAAACCAAAACAAAGUUAGACUUUUUGUGUUUAUUGUGGAAUAAAUUUGUUGUAUGAUCACUUACAUAGACAUACAGUAUUAUCUAUAAUUACACCAUUGCAAGCUAACUAAUACACCAAUCAUGUAGCCAGUCGAUAUGAAGCGGAAUUUGUAGUCAGGGAUGCUUUUGUGGAGUCCAUAUUCAUCUAUUUGUGAAUUUUCUGUGUUUGUUUCUUUCAUUAGUUGCCGUGUUAAACUGUGUUGUAUUUGUUGAGCCUUUACUGUUCAAACUAGUGUCGAGUACACUCUAACAAACCUGAAUAUGGACCUGGACACAUGCGAAUGUAACUUGCUACUUAUAGAGGUGUUGUUUUUUUCUUCAUACUCAGUUAAUACCCUUUCCACCACUGGACUCUGUUUUCAGAUUGCAUCCUUGCAGACAAUUUUUAAAUUACAAUGUAAGAUAUACAAUACAUUUUUUAGUGUACUGUACAUUUUCAGUAUGUGGUGAAUAUUUAUCAUUAAAUAUGAUACGGUGUUGGUCAGUAUAAUCUUUUUUCAGUAACUGCAUUAUCAGCACAAACAUCUUUUUUUACUGAAAAUGUAAUGAGUUUAAUCUGAGAGAUGAUUUAUCCUUCCUGGUGGGCCUCAGGAUCUUGAUAGUCUUACUUGUGUCUCACUCCAUUUGUCUUUUUCGCAGUAUCCAAUGGUGUCGUACCCACAAGACUCCCAAGCAGCG